rnacentral:rRNA from 1 species
GUCUAUGGCAUACCACCCUGAAUGCGCCCGAUCUCAUCUGAUCUGGUGAAGCUAAGCAGGGUUGGGCCUGGUUAGCACUUGGAUGGGAGACCGCCUGGGAAUACCGGGUGCUGUACAGG